rnacentral:lncRNA from 1 species
CCUCCGCCCCAGGUCCAGUCCUGUACGCCUAGCCCCUCCGCCCCAGGUCCAGUCUUGUACCCCUAGCCCCUCUGCCCCAGGUCCAGUCUUGUGCCCCUCCGCCCCAGGUCCAGUCUUGUGCCCCUCCGCCCCAGGUCCAGUCUUGUGCCCCUCCGCCCCAGGUCCAGUCUUGUGCCCCUCCGCCCCAGGUCCAGUCUUGUGCCCCUAGCCCCUCCGCCCCCAGGUCCAGUCUUGUACCCCUAGCCCCUCCGCCCCAGGUCCAGUCUUGUACCCCUAGCCCCUCCGCCCCAGGUCCAGUCUUGUACCCCUAGCCCCUCCGCCCCAGGUCCAGUCUUGUACCCCUAGCCCCUCCGCCCCAGGUCCAGUCUUGUACCCCUAGCCCCUCCGCCCCAGGUCCAGUCCUGUGCCCCUCCACCCCAGGUCCAGUCCUGUACCCCUAGCCCCUCCACCCCAGGUCCAGUCCUGUGCCCCUACCCCAGGUCCAGUCCUGUACCCCUAGCCCCUCCGCCCCAGGUCCAGUCCUGUACCCCUAGCCCCUCUGCCCCAGGUCCAGUCUUGUGCCCCUCCGCCCCAGGUCCAGUCUUGUGCCCCUCCGCCCCAGGUCCAGUCUUGUGCCCCUCCGCCCCAGGUCCAGUCUUGUACCCCUAGCCCCUCCGCCCAGGUCCAGUCUUGUACCCCUAGCCCCUCCGCCCCAGGUCCAGUCUUGUACCCCUAGCCCCUCCGCCCCAGGUCCAGUCUUGUACCCCUAGCCCCUCCGCCCCAGGUCCAGUCCUGUACCCCUAGCCCCUCCACCCCAGGUCCAGUCCUGUACCCCUAGCCCCUCCACCCCAGGUCCAGUCCUGUGCCCCUACCCCAGGUCCAGUCCUGUACCCCUCCACCCCAGGUCCAGUCCUGUACCCCUAGCCCCUCCACCCCAGGUCCAGUCCUGUGCCCCUCCACCCCAGGUCCAGUCCUGU